rnacentral:tRNA from 2 species
GCCAAUGUAGCUCAGUGGGAGAGCACUUUCUUGGUAAGAAAGAGGUCACGGGUUCAAUUCCCGCCAUUGGCU